AUUACUUACCGCCAUUUACAUUAGAACGCUGAAAAGAAACGGGAAGGGUGUGUGCCAUUUACUCGUUGUUGUAAAACGCUUAGCAGAUUGUGCCAUAAAAUGCCCUGCCCAUAGAACGCACCUGUAACAAUCUAGAAUUUGAAAUUUUCAGAAGGGGCACGAGAGAUCCCACAAGAAUAACAGAGCAUCUUGCAUGAGACAAAGGAAGUUGAGUGUUUACAUCAAAAAUUCAGCCAUGAUGUGUUUUGACAGAUACCAUUUCUGUGGGAAAAUCACUCCAGGAAAUUGUUGUGAGGAGUCCAGACAUUUAAGAGUAAAAAGUUCAUAAAGUAUUUAGAACAUCUGUAUAAAAAGGUAUAAAUAAUUAUCACAGAACAAAAGGAAGUUAAGUGGCAUGAAACAGUGAAGCUAAGAUGCUAGCCUGUCUGUCUAGCGGUUGCAGGGUGGUGGAAGUAGAGGAUCUAACUAUUCUGGUGGUCAUGUGUUUGAAAGUCAGUGAGAACAGAAUUUGUACCAGUCUCCUCUACUCUCAGAUGUCUCCACAGUUCCACACACAGGUAUUGUCUACAUGGAGUGCAUGCAGCUGAUAGAUCUUUGGUUCUGUU